rnacentral:rRNA from 1 species
GACGAACGCUGGCGGCGUGCUUAACACAUGCAAGUCGAACGGGCCUGUCUUCUUUUUUGGGGGUGGGUUGAGUGGCGAACGGGUGAGUAUCACGUGAGUAACCUGCCCUUCGGUCCUGGAUAACCGCUUGAAAGGGCGGCUAAUACGGGGUGGUCCGGUUGGUCCGCAUGGGCUGGUCGGGAUAGAUUCACUGUUUUUGGUGUUUCGGCGGGGGAUGGGGUCGCGGCCUAUCAGCUUGUUGGUGGGGUGAUGGCCUACCCAGGCGGUGACGGGUAGCCGGCCGGAGAGGGUGGGCGGCCAGAAUGGGACUGAGAUACGGCCCAGACUCAUGCGGGAGGCAGCAGUGGGGGGUAUUGCACAAUGGGCGGAAGCCUGAUGCAGCGACGUCGCGUGAGGGAUGGAGGCCUUCGGGUUGUGAACCUCUGUUUCCGGUGGUGAAGGCCCUGUCCGUGUGGUGGGGUUGACGGUAGCCGGGGAUGAAGCGCCGGCUAACUACGUG